rnacentral:rRNA from 1 species
UGCGCAGGCGGAAUGAUAAGUCAGUGGUGAAAGCCUACGGCUCAACUGUAGAAAUGCCAUUGAUACUGUCGUUCUUGAGUACAUUUGAAGUGGGCGGAAUGUGUCAUGUAGCGGUGAAAUGCAUAGAUAUGACACAGAACACCGAUAGCGAAGGCAGCUCACUAAACUGUAACUGACGCUCAGGCACGAAAGCGUGGGGAGCAAACAGGAUUAGAUACCCUGGUAGUC